CCUACGGGUGGCUGCAGUGGGGGAUAUUGCACAAUGGGGGGAACCCUGAUGCAGCGACGCCGCGUGGGUGAAGGAGUGCUUCGGCAUGUAAAGCCCUAUCGGCAGGGAAGAAGCAAGACGGUACCUGACUAAGAAGCCCCGGCUAACUACGUGCCAGCAGCCGCGGUAAUACGUAGGGGGCGAGCGUUAGCCGGGUUCACUGGGUGUAAAGGGAGCGUAGACGGCCAUGCAAGCCAGGGGUGAAAGCCCGGGGCCCAACCCCGGGACUGCCCUUGGAACUGCAUGGCUGGAGUGCGGGAGGGGCAGGCGGAAUUCGUGGUGUAGGGGUGAAAUGCGUAGAUAUCAGGAGGAACACCGGCGGCGAAGGCGGACUGCUGGACGAUGACUGACGUUGAGGCUCGAAAGCGUGGGGAGCAAACAGGAUUAGAUACCCCAGUAGUC
rnacentral:rRNA from 1 species